rnacentral:rRNA from 1 species
CCUACGGGAGGCAGCAGUGGGGAAUCUUGCACAAUGGGCGAAAGCCUGAUGCAGCAACGCCGCGUGAGCGAAGAAGGCCUUUGGGUCGUAAAGCUCUGUCCUAAGGGAAGAAGGAAGUGACGGUACCUUAGGAGGAAGCCCCGGCUAACUACGUGCCAGCAGCCGCGGUAAUACGUAGGGGGCAAGCGUUAUCCGGAAUUAUUGGGCGUAAAGAGUACGUAGGCGGUUCUUUAAGCGCAGGGUAUAAGGCGAAGGCUUAACCAUCGUUGGCCCUGUGAACUGGGGGACUUGAGUAUCGGAGAGGAAAGCGGAAUUCCUAGUGUAGCGGUGAAAUGCGUAGAUAUUAGGAGGAACACCAGUGGCGAAGGCGGCUUUCUGGACGAAAACUGACGCUGAGGUACGAAAGCGUGGGGAGCAAACAGGAUUAGAUACCCUAG